CGCGGUAACCAGGCCACUCGUUCUUGCCCCCACUCUUGCGAUCCCCGAAGCUUCCCGCCGAAGGAAUGUGCUGGUGCACGGCUCUCGCCGCCGCGCCCAUCACCAGCGGCCGGUGGCCUCCGCCCUCCUCCGUCCGCCUCCACCGCCGCCGACAAAGCUCCAUCCGGGCAGACGCGCCUCCCGGGGGCGAGCCGCGGCGGAAGAAGGUCGCCGUCGCCGGCGCCGGGUGGGCGGGCCUCGCCGCUGCGCACCACCUCGUCAAACAGGGAUACGAUGUUACGCUUUUCGCGGCGGACAGCGGCCCAAGGGAGGAGGUCGGUCUCAGAGGGUUCUGGUAUCCAUACCGAAACAUUUUCUCACUAGUCGAUGAGCUGGGGAUCUCCCCUUUCACGGGGUGGACUAAAGCGGCGUACUAUUCUCCACAAGGACUUGCCGCCGAAUUCCCCGUGUUCCAUGACCAGCCUCGAUUGCCAGCUCCCUUUGGAAUCUUUGCGUAUCCUGAAUUCCCCAGUCUUCCUCUGAUUGAUAGAUUGACAUCAAUUCCUGUCCUAUCUGCAGUCAUUGACUUCGACAAUACAGACACUGCCUGGAGGAAGUACGAUACAAUAACUGCAAGAGAGCUUUUCAAAAUGUUCGGGUGCUCUCAAAGACUCUACAAGGAAAUUUUUGAACCAGCUAUUCAGGCUGCCCUGUUUGCUCCUGGUGAGCAAUGUAGUGCAGCUGCAACAUUGGGGAUGUUGUACUAUUAUAUGCUCUCCCACCAGGAAAACUCUGAUUUUGUGUUGUGCCGUGGGGAAGUAGAAGAUGCCAUUUUCUCUCCUUGGCUAAAAUCACUAGAACUAAAAGGCAUAAAAUUCAUUGCAAAUAGAGUUCCUACAAGUUUGACGAUAAAUGAGGACACCGAAUGUGUCUCUGAAGUUGUCUGUGGUGAGGAGGUAUAUGACGCAGAUGCAUUUGUUUUGGCCACUGGACUCUCACCUCUACAAUCUAUCAUUCGGAACAGUCCGUUUCUACAGUCAAGACAAGAAUUCACUGAUCUUCUGCAUCUGUCAACAGUUGACGUGAUCACCGUAAAAUUAUGGUUUGAUAAAAAGGUCACAGUUCCAAAGGUCGCUAACAUUUGUUCCAGCUAUGAUGAUUUAUCUGGCUGGACAUUCUUUGACCUAACCUCUGUAUACGAUGAUUACAGUGACAAACCAGGAACAGUUGUGGAGGCUGAAUUUUAUAAUGGUAGCCAUCUUUUCCCACUGAAUGAUAAACAGAUUGUUUCUGAAGCUUCAUCACGACUUAUUAAAUGUAUAGGCGAUUUUGAGGGGGCCACUGUGAUCCAGCAAUUUGUCAGAAGAUCUCCUGGAUCCGCAAUGCAUUUUCUUCCAGGUUCUUACAAGCACACAGUGCGGGGAACAACAUCCGUUCCAAAUUUGUUUAUUGCCGGUGAUUGGAUAGUCAACCGACAUGGGUCCUUCUCAAAGGAAAAAGCGUAUGUGACUGGACUUGAAGCCGCUAAUAUGACGGUGGACUAUUUUGGCGAUGGAGACUUCGCUAAAAUCAUUGCAGUUGAAGGAGAUGAGCCUCAUAUAGAGACAGUGCGUGAUCUCAACAGAAGAACCAAUGAGCUGAAGACUCAGAUUCCUUUCUCAGAGUUUUUUCUCCCAUGAAAUGAUUGCAAUUUUCCUAGGCCAUCAUCAUACAACUCAUUCAUAAAAGUGCCGUUAUCAUGCAACUUAUAUAUAAAAGGAAAAAGUGUUCUGAAAUAUGGCAGCAUUGCUUGUCUAUAUAAAAUUAUACAUACACAUUAGCAAAGCAACUUGCUCCUGAGUUGUAAUUUACAGUUUGCUUCUUUGUGGUAUACAUUAAAAUAUCUCUAUACAACUCCAUUCAUCAAGAGGCCCUAGUUUCCUCAGGUAUAUAUUCCUUUCCUCAUCAUUUCCACAAACUCUUCAUAGUCGAUAUUCCCGUCCUGUGAAUUUAACAACAACAGUGGUCAAAUAUGUUAGAUGGCACUAAGCUGGGAAAAAAAGCUCACCUUAUCUUUGUCAACUUCAUCCAGUACUUCUUUAAUAUUUGCUUCAUCACCCAUUCCAUACUCUGUCAUGGCUUGUUCAAGUUCUUCUCUUGAUAUGUACCUACAGUUAUUAUUAUGCACGCAGAGUUAACCACCAUCACACACCCUCCCUUGAGUUGUUAUGUCCAAGCAGAAAAUAAUGCAAGAACGGCAUGCAUUAUCGCAUUUUUUUUAUAACAUUGAAUAAAAGAGCUGGUACAUAAAUUGACUCCAGAAGUUUAGCAUUGGUUAACUUUGUAACUCUUAAUAUAUGGUGAUGCGUGUAAGAUAAAAUAUAUUUGGUAGUUAGCAGAAUUAGUAUUACCCGCUGUUGUCUUUGUCAAAGUGUUGAAAUGCAAGGAGCAAAUCCUCCUCCUUUUCCAGCUUAUGUUUAUUCAUCAUAGCAGUGAGGAAUUCCGUGUAAUCUAUGCUGCCACUCUUGUCUACAUCCACCUGAAUCACAGUAUGGUCAGUGAAAUCUUGAUACACUUAACGUAUGGUGAAAGAGUCAAACAAACUAGAAGUUAUCUUACUGCUUCCAUAAGCUUCUGAACCUCUGCUUCACUAAUCUUUGAUCCUAACUUUGUCAAACCAAUCUUCAGUUCUUCAACUGUGAUUGUCCCACUCUUGUCUGUAUCCAUGUUAUUGAACAUCUGUUUUAGUCCCUUGAUUUCCUCUGGUGAUAGGUUCUCUGCAAUUACCUUGAGAUGCAAUGAAAAGGGCAGUGCUGUCAGCUUUUAAUUAUACGAAGACAAAGUAGCAGUCAUCUUUGUCAAGGAGGAUUCACCUUGAGCGCUAGUUGUUUUAGCUUGUUCAUCGCCUUGAAUUGCUUCAUCCUUAAUAGGACUGCGCUAUCGAUAGGUCUGUCAGAUGCACCACCCUUUAGCCAUGGAUGUUCUGCACAGGGAGACGUUGAUUUAUCGGGGUGACAUAUAAAUUAUACAAAUGCAGAAAGAGAUCUACAUGCAUAACCCCAGGCUGUGUACUACCUAGGGCCUGUACUGCAGUAAUACGCUUCUGGGGAUCUCUGUUUAGCAUUUGCCUGAUAAGAUCUUUCGCGCUUUCAGAUAUCGUCGGCCACGGGCUGCUGCUGAAAUCAAGUUGGCCCACCAGUAUAGCAUCAAAUAUGCCCUUCUCCGUUUCUGCUCAGAUUUGCAACAUUUAGUCCGGGAUGUAUACAGUACAGUAUGUUAAGCUGAAGAUGUAUGGAAAUGUACCUCCCCAGAAAGGCGGCGACCCACAUAAGAGAAUAUACAAGAUCACUCCAGCGCUCCAGACGUCGAUCUCUUUCCCAUAAUUUCUAUGUAAAACUUCUGGUGCCACAUAGUAUGCACUUCCUACAAUGUCCUUGUACACCUUUCCUGCAUUUAUCGAGGAAAAGAUGGCAUAUGUAGUAUGGAAUGCUGAGCUUAAUUGUUAAUGUGAAUUCUUCUUCCUCGAA